rnacentral:rRNA from 1 species
AGCGAACGCUGGCGGCAGGCCUAACACAUGCAAGUCGAACGGAUCCUUCGGGAUUAGUGGCGGACGGGUGAGUAACACGUGGGAACGUGCCUUUAGGUUCGGAAUAACUCAGAGAAAUUUGAGCUAAUACCGGAUAAUGUCUUCGGACCAAAGAUUUAUCGCCUUUAGAUGGGCCCGCGUAAGAUUAGCUAGUUGGUGGGGUAAAGGCCUACCAAGGCGACGAUCUUUAGCUGGUCUGAGAGGAUGAUCAGCCACACUGGGACUGAGACACGGCCCAGACUCCUACGGGAGGCAGCAGUGGGGAAUAUUGGACAAUGGGCGAAAGCCUGAUCCAGCAAUGCCGCGUGAGUGAUGAAGGCCUUAGGGUUGUAAAGCUCUUUUACCCGAGAUGAUAAUGACAGUAUCGGGAGAAUAAGCUCCGGCUAACUCCGUGCCAGCAGCCGCGGUAAU